rnacentral:rRNA from 1 species
CUCACCAAGGCAACGAUGGGUAGGGGAACUGAGAGGUUUAUCCCCCACACUGGUACUGAGACACGGACCAGACUCCUACGGGAGGCAGCAGUGAGGAAUAUUGGUCAAUGGGCGAGAGCCUGAACCAGCCAAGUCGCGUGAAGGAAGACUGUCCUAAGGAUUGUAAACUUCUUUUAUACGGGAAUAACGGGCGAUACGUGUAUUGCUGUGAAUGUACCGUAAGAAUAAGCCA